rnacentral:lncRNA from 1 species
CCAAAACCGAAGCUGGCAACCUUCGCCUUACAACAAGCCUCAACACCCAAACCAAAACCAAAACCGUAUCAUGAACAUCGAGGGAAACCAAAACCAGAGCCAAAACCAAAAUAGCAAUACUCAAAGAGGGGGCCAUUCUGGCAGAGGACGAGGUCGACGAAGACAACAAUUUUACUGUGUCAACCAUGGCCAUCAGAAUCAUCACAACACAGAGUGGUGCCCCAAAAAGAAGGAGGAGGAGAGAAAAGCUACGGAAGAAGCUGCGAAAGUAGCCGCAUAGGCGCCCAAAACAAUCCACCACACAACUUUUUACCCACACCCAAGCUUCUACCACAACCAGCCCAGCUUCGCCAACUUCCCGCAACCGAUGACUUGGCCUCUUCCACCACACAUACAGGCCUACCACCAAACAAUUCCACAGCACCCCAAUCCCAACCCGCCUCAAAAGCCCCAAGAAACACUACAUCUACCCCCAAGCAUGCCAGCCAUAAUACCCAAGCCGGAGCCCAAC